rnacentral:rRNA from 1 species
GGAGUUUGGACCGUGUCUCAGUUCCAAUGUGGGGGACCUUCCUCUCAGAACCCCUACUGAUCGUUGGCCAGGUGGGCCGUUACCCCGCCUGCAACCUAAUCAGACGCAUCCCCAUCCCUUAGCGGUAAACCUUUGCUUCAUGUCUGAUGUCAUCUACGAAGAACAUAGGGUAUUAAUCCGCAUUUCUACGGGCUAUGCCCUACUAAGGGGAAGGUUGGAUACGCGUUACUCACCCGUGCGCCGGUCGCCAUCAAUCAAAGCAAGCUUUGAUCAUGCUGCCCCUCGACUUGCAUGUGUUAAGCCUGUAGCUAGCGUUCAUC